rnacentral:rRNA from 1 species
CUGUCUCCACCCGAGACUCAGUGAAAUUGAACUCGCUGUGAAGAUGCAGUGUACCCGCGGCAAGACGGAAAGACCCCGUGAACCUUUACUAUAGCUUGACACUGAACAUUGAGCCUUGAUGUGUAGGAUAGGUGGGAGGCUUUGAAGCGUGGACGCCAGUCUGCGUGGAGCCGACCUUGAAAUACCACCCUUUAAUGUUUGAUGUUCUAACGUGGACCCGUGAUCCGGGUUGCGGACAGUGUCUGGUGGGUAGUUUGACUGGGGCGGUCUCCUCCUAAAGAGUAACGGAGGAGCACGAAGGUUGGCUAAUCCUGGUCGGAC